AAGGAAAUGAUAUUCUGAAACAAAAGGCCAACUCUAAACCUUGGGAGAUGGUGACAGUUACAAAAUGCAGGCCUGUGAAGGAAGUGUGUCCAUAAAAUGCUGACACCAUCUUCUUUCUCAUCAGAUGGGUAGAGAGAGUUUAGAAGCUCAAAACCACCAUCAUCCUUUCACUGUUCCUUUCUGAGUGUCUUCUCAGUAAGUGGAAGAUCCUUUUCUCACCUUGAGCUUAACAUAAAAUCUUUUUGAAAGUGACAAUUUUUUGUUGUUGUUAGUGGUAGUUAUGGAUUUGCUAUAAGAAUACAGCAAUUGCUAAUAUAUUGCCAUCAAAACAAUUAAUAUAAAUAAUAAUAUAGGAUGACAAUAUAGCAUAUAACUAACAGUGUGAACCUUGGAUUCAGAAAAGCUUGGCUUUGAAUCCUGGGUCCAUUAUUACUAGCUGUGUGCAAAUUAUUGAAACCCUCUCACCUCAAUUUUGCAUCCAUAAAAUGGGAUCAUAAUAACGAUUAUUCAAAUUCAACUUAAAGGGAAGUCUGAAUUAAAUGUGAAAAUGUAUGUAUAAAUCACACAAGUACUCAGUAAACAGUCACUAUUAACAUUGUCAUAAAUUUGUAGCUGUUGUUUCAUAGUCACAGUGAGAUGAUAAGGAAAAAUCCCUAUAUUCAAACUAGAAUUGAUUUCUAGUUCAAUAUUCUGAACAAAUGUGUUAUAUACAUUCUAUCAAAAUCACGAAUCAGUUGUAUGUUUUUAAUUUGUUUGUAAAUAUUUGUCAUGUUGUCAUUUUUAGAGAAUUUAAAAGGAAAAAUAGUGUCUUGACUAAUACCAAGCAUUCCACUUACAAGCAUGUUUUCCUUUUAGCACUGCCUCUUGUUGCAUAUGGGUCCAAUGCCCUGAUUUUCAAAAUGUGGUAGGAAACUAGUGAACUGGUAUCAAUGAAUAUCUUGUAGUUUGUCCUGUUCUCAUUCAACUUGUAAGUUCACUGGAUACAUGCAUGAGUAUUUUAAUUGGCCAGAAAGGCAGUUAUUGAUCUGGGUCACAUCUCCACAAGAUUUUAUAGAGAUAGGUUUGAAUAAAGUAGUCCUAAGGCUUAAAUAUCAGAGGCAUAAAGGGAAGAAGACAUUUUGCCACACACUGUAAAAACAAAUAAUCUUGAUCAUGCAGACUCCAUAUCUUACAAUAUUGUUAAUUUACAUUCCACAUCUUAGAACACUUAGACUCCACCACCUACUAUGGCAGGCAGAAAAGGUUCAUAACAAUAAAAAGGAUUCCUAAAGAUGUAAAAAAAAA
rnacentral:lncRNA from 1 species